rnacentral:ncRNA from 1 species
CAGGUUCAGAUAAUUGAUAUAUGUGCCUGGUCGAAAGGCCAAUGGUGCGAAGCUACCAUCUGAGGGAUUAAGACUGAAAGCCUCUAAGUCGUCAAUUGACGACUUCCUGUCUUGUUAGGGGGUCAUUGAAUCCUAUCCCUGCUUGACGUAAUGAUUUGAGGACAUGUUCUUUUUUCAUUUCCCCUUUGGUACUGGGCUUCGGUACAAACGAGUAUAUAUACCUUCGUGUACACUACUAGAUUCAUGUGUCUUGACUUGUGUAUUUCUGGUGUCAGUAUCCAUGACUCACAUUUGAUACCUGAUGGCUU